CAGCAGCCGCGGUAACACGGAGGGUGCAAGCGUUAAUCGGAAUUACUGGGCGUAAAGCGCACGCAGGCGGUUUGUUAAGUCAGAUGUGAAAUCCCCGAGCUUAACUUGGGAACUGCAUUUGAAACUGGCAGGCUAGAGUCUUGUAGAGGGGGGUAGAAUUCCAGGUGUAGCGGCGAAAUGCGUAGAGAUCUGGAGGAAUACCGGUGGCGAAGGCGGCCCCCUGGACAAAGACUGACGCUCAGGUGCGAAAGCGUGGGGAGCAAACAGGAUUAGAUACCCCUGUAGUCCCUGUCUCUUAUAC
rnacentral:rRNA from 1 species